GAUGAACGCUGGCGGCGUGCUUAACACAUGCAAGUCGAACGGAAAGGCCCAAGCUUGCUUGGGUACUCGAGUGGCGAACGGGUGAGUAACACGUGGGUGAUCUGCCCUGCACUUCGGGAUAAGCCUGGGAAACUGGGUCUAAUACCGGAUAGGACCACAUUCUGGAUGGUGUGGUGGAAAGUUUUUCGGUGUGGGAUGAGCUCGCGGCCUAUCAGCUUGUUGGUGGGGUAAUGGCCUACCAAGGCGUCGACGGGUAGCCGGCCUGGGAGGGUGUACGGCCACAUUGGGACUGGGAUUCGGCCCAGACUCCUUCGGGGGGCAGCAGGGGGGAAUAUUGCACAAUGGGGGCGAGCCUGAUGCAGGGACGCCGCGUGGGGGAUGACGGGCUUUGGGUUGUAAACUCCUUUCGCUAGGGACGAAGCGUUAUGUGACGGUACCUGGAGAAGAAGCACCGGCUAACUACGUG
rnacentral:rRNA from 1 species